GUCGGUUGUCUCUGUUUCUAGGUGUCAACGAAGCGCUGUCAGUCCGGACAACCAGCGGCAAGUAGAUCUGUGUUUCUCGUUGUGUCCGUGCAAAAUUAUUCGCUGUUGGAUAUUCAAUUAACAGUCACUUGGUCGAAAUAAGUGAAAAUACCACCCUGACCCCUGCAAAGAGAUAUGAGCGGCAGCGGGCGGCAGAGGACCAGCUCGUUUGCUGAGCCGCCAGGUGUUCUAGGAGCCGCUGCCGCGUCCGCUGGAUCAGCCGCUGCCGUGGGGAGCAGCACAGGAAAAUCCGGGGUCCCGCAGGCCUCCGGUAGCAGCUCAUCGGGAUGCUCGAACUUAAAGCUUUCAAGAGACAGCGGGAAAGUAACAACAGUUGUGGCAACACCAGGGCAAGGACCAGACCGCCCACAGGAAGUCUCUUAUACAGACAUCAAGGUGAUUGGCAAUGGGUCGUUUGGAGUUGUCUACCAAGCACGGCUCAUAGACAACCAAGAGAUGGUGGCUAUCAAGAAAGUGCUACAGGACAAGAGGUUUAAGAAUCGGGAACUACAGAUCAUGAGGAAGCUGGACCACUGCAACAUUGUCAGGCUACGUUACUUCUUUUACUCCAGUGGUGAAAAGAAAGACGAGGUGUACCUCAACUUAGUGCUGGACUUUGUCCCUGAGACGGUCUACAGGGUUGCCAGGCAUUUUAACAAGGCCAAGAGCAUAAUUCCGAUCAUAUAUGUUAAGGUGUAUAUGUAUCAGUUGUUUCGUAGUCUGGCUUAUAUCCAUUCCCAGGGAGUGUGUCACAGAGACAUCAAGCCUCAAAAUUUGCUUGUCGAUCCAGAAACUGCUGUCCUGAAGCUGUGCGAUUUUGGCAGCGCCAAACAGUUGGUCCGUGGUGAACCUAACGUGUCGUACAUCUGCUCACGGUAUUAUCGCGCCCCGGAGCUCAUUUUUGGUGCCACAGAUUAUACGGCAAAUAUUGACAUCUGGUCUGCAGGCUGCGUUUUGGCUGAGCUGCUGCUUGGACAACCCAUAUUUCCUGGGGACAGUGGUGUGGACCAACUAGUAGAGAUCAUCAAGGUGCUCGGAACCCCAACAAGGGAACAAAUCCGAGAAAUGAACCCAAAUUAUACAGAGUUUAAGUUUCCUCAGAUUAAAGCUCAUCCAUGGACCAAGGUCUUUAAGCCUCGCACCCCUCCGGAGGCUAUCGCUCUUUGCUCGCGGCUGCUGGAGUACACGCCAGCCUCGCGCCUCUCUCCGCUGGAAGCCUGUUCACAUGCCUUUUUUGAUGAGCUGCGCCAGCCAAAUACACGACUGCCCAGUGGGCGAGAACUGCCCAUGCUCUUCAAUUUUAGCACCAUAGAGCUGUCCAUCCAGCCCCAGCUGAACUCUGCCCUCAUCCCUCCUCACGCUCGCUCUCAUACAGCUGCCUCCGCCCAUGGUGUGACGAAAUGUUUGAAUCUGCCAGCGGUAGCAAAGUGAAAACCCAACCAGGGUUUGAUUCAGAUGGAAGAAACAUUCACACUCAUCAUUUCAUUGAUGCUGCAAGAGCUUCCACAGAAUAUGGUUCAGAUUCAUCUCAGCACAGUUCGGUACCAGGAUCCCUUAACAGUAUCUGAAGCAGCAUCUCACCUGUUCAGCCGCCGGCCUCACCUUUCAUUCAGACACACACGUUCCUGCUUUCCUCCGUGCUGCUCGUAUUUUAGCUGCCAGAGUCCAAACUACGGGAGAUUGUUGAAGCAGCUCAGGUGGGAUGUGAAGGUUCAAUCCUGGGGGCUGGUCCUCUGUAAUAUAACCUUUUUUUUUCUUUUUUUAGAUCAACAUUCUUCUCCUUUUAUUAUGUUUUAUUUAUUUAAACAUUUAAAGCAUUAUUUUAUCAAACCACAUUUUGUGUCUGAAGUCUCUGCUUACAUUUAUUUAAUAUUAUAUAAUAUAUACUUUCUUUGCAUCCUUGAUGGUUAAUCCGUGAUUGCUCUUUCUGACCGAGACCGGAAUCGGCCUCCAAAAGGUCUUCAGGCUGAAAGAAUUCUUUUUCAUUAUUCAACUCAGGGCAAGAGAAUGACAGCAGCAUAGACUUCCUAAAAUUCUCCAACCAACAAAACCUGAUGUCCAGAGUGGAAACAAUUCCUGAACUUUUAAAUGACCUGCUGAAGAGGAAAAACGUUGGUGUUUGGAGGCUUGUAGCGAGGUGCCUUCAGUCAUGUUUAGUUACGUGUUCUUAUUAUUCAAACCUCGUUAAGACUGGCUGUAUUCAUUUAGAGAUAAAAUACUUUAGGUUUUCAGCUUUUAAACUUGAUUCAGAUUUUAAACACCCAUCUGAAGCACGUUAGAUAUGUUGUUACUAUACAGAAGCAAGUGCGUUCAUUCAUUCAUUCAGCUUUUUGUUUGCUGCUCUCACAUAUUUCAAGCUUUACUCAAAUGUCAGUUUGUGCAGAAUGUAAAAACUUUUUUUUGUUGUCUUCUGGCACAGUAAAGUGUUGAACUUUAACAGUGGUCUGAGCUUUGCGUAAAUGUUGUCCUGUU